ACACUGAAGCAUCAGUUGCUUACGAACUUCCUACACUUGAGCAAGGCUCUCCCUUUUUUGUGCCGUAACCAUGAGCUGUUGCAGUCGUUGUGGUGCACGCAGCGGUUGCUGCUGUUGCCACCGAAGCAAGCCCAGAGUGGUCUACUACGUGAGGAGACAGGUCCCCAUGGUGCCCUGUUGCGGCGGUGGGCAGUAUUCCUACUCCUACGUCCCUGCAAGAAGUUGCUGCUGUGCCCCUAGGCCCCGUCUGCCCAUCCAACAGUGUACCAUGCCGGUGAAGAAAUACUAAGCACGCCUCAAGGAUGUCAAGGAAGCCUGCAAGUCUCAGCCAGCUGGAGGAGACGAGUGAAUAGUCAACACGUAUUUGGAGACUGUUGUUUAUCUUUUGUGCUCAUCUUGCCAAUGGAAAUACCUGCGGCUUCUGUCAACUAAAUUAUUCAGCACUCUCUCAUUCCUUUCACAUGAUUCCUUGAAAACAAAUCCAAAUAAGUGGAGACUGGGCGGCUUUAUCUUCUCAGCAUCUUUUCUUCUGCCGCUGUUCUUUGAUGACUCCUUUCUUUGGUGUAUACCUUGCCAGCAUAAUUUGAUGUCAUGGUCCAAUGUUUGUUCUCUCUAGUAACUAUAAAGUAUCUAGUAACUAUAAAGUUCUCAGCAUGGUCACUAAACUAUAAUUAUGAGUUCUCCAAGGCAGUGGUUCUCAACCUUUGGUUCUCCAGAUGUUUUGGACAUCAGCUCGUGUUGUCGAUGCUCAAGAAUUCUGGGAGAGGAAGUCCUAAACAUCUUCAGAACCAACGGUUGAGUACCAAUGCCUUAGGCUGAGUCAUGGUGUAAGACCAGUUAUGAUAUUUAUGUUCUACUUUCACCUGGUGUUUUCUUUUUCCUAAUCUGCAUACAACAAGCAAUAAAAUCCUGAAAAUCAA